AACGAACGCUGGCGGCAGGCCUAACACAUGCAAGUCGAGCGAGGACUUCGGUCCUAGCGGCGGACGGGUGAGUAACGCGUGGGAACGUGCCCUUUGCUUCGGAAUAGCCCUGGGAAACUGGGAGUAAUACCGGAUGAGCCCUUUGGGGGAAAGAUUUAUCGGCGAAGGAUCGGCCCGCGUUGGAUUAGGUGGUUGGGGGGGUAAUGGCCUACCAAGCCGACGAUCCAUAGCGGGUUUGAGAGGAUGAUCAGCCACACUGGGACUGAGACACGGCCCAGCCCCCCACGGGGGGCAGAGGGGGGAAAUUUUAAAAAAGGGGGGAACCCCGGAUCUCGCCCUGCCGGGUGGGGGAAGAGGGCUUUAGGUUUGAAAAGCUCUUUCAGCGGGGAAGAAAAGGGCGGAACCAGAAAAAGACGCCCCGGCUACCCCCG
rnacentral:rRNA from 1 species